AGGCCUUUGCUUCCUUUUGACAAGGUAGAGGAGCAGGAAGACAGGAAGAAGGAUGAGGCUAAGCCUGUCUCCUAUUCAUAUUCCUUCUUCCACCUCAUUUUUCUCCCUUGCCAGCAUGUACUCGGCUAUGCUUCUUACUGGCUGGUCCACGUCCGUUGGUGAAAGUGGUAAGCUUGUUGAUGUUGGGUGGCCCUCUGUGUGGGUCAGGAUUGUGACUGGGUGGGCCACAGCAGCUCUCUACAUCUGGUCUCUAAUUGCUCCCAUUCUCUUCCCAGAUAGGGAGUUCUGACUCCCAAGUAUGUAAAAGGAUGCAAUAAUUAUUUGGGACCCAAGUCCAGUAUCAUUGAGUCUGUACAUGUCUCUGUACACAGCUCUCGAUGCUACAUUUGUAGAGGAAUCUGUAUUAUAGAUGCAGGCUAAACUUUAUGUGUGAUUCAAGAAUGAUAGAGAUGUUGCUAUAAUGUUUGGAAUUGUAACCAUGGUGCUUCAUAAUUGAACAGUAAGAUGGUCAUCCUUUCUUGUGCAUGAUUCACUGGCAACAUGCAAAUAUUUGCUGGGUAAACUUUGAUUUCAUUCUCUGAAACUUUAGAUAAUGGGAACAAUUUGUAUUGGGUAAUCCUACUGUUUGCUCGGCCGGAAGGAAGGUAUGCUUUCUUCUGCUUUACAUGUUGGACUGGGAGCCGCAGUUAUUGAAAAUAUUGGGCAGGCUUUUGGUACUAAAAAAACAGCGGCGGUUGUUGCAGUAUGAUCGGGUAUAGAUCUUGGAAAGGACUUUAAUUAGUAUGUUCUAUGUUGACUUGACAGGAACAUGGUUUCAGGACAGGCAGUCCGGCUGGACGACUUGACUCCCACGAUCUAGAUGAGUCUUUGGAGCUGUGGAAUGUGAUAGAGAACCAAACCAUGACGGUCCAGGCACACGAAGGUCUUAUUGCAGCAUUGGCACAGUCACAAGCCACAGGAAUGGUGGCCUCUGCUAGCCAUGACAAGUCUGUUAAGCUGUGGAAGUAAGCAUGGGGGGUGUUGCAGUGGAAGUAAGCUGUGGAAGUAAGCCACAGGAAUUUUUGGAAGCUACUUUGAUGGUUUAUGUAUUCGUAGACUAAAUGUUUUGUGUCAUCUGUACGGAACUUCUUGUUCUAUCUUACUAAUCCCAGUGGUGUAGAAAUGCAUACCUUGUUAUAAUUAGUGUUGGAAGCAGUGGAACAGAGCUACUGCUGCACUGAUUGUUGGUAAAUCUUAGUUUUUAAGGUAACACGUGCUUGCUUU